AUCUAGAGUUUCUUUUAUGGCUCUUAUUCCUUUUAUGGUCAUUGACCAUGUAAAAGGAAUAAGAGCCAUAAAAGAAACUCUAGAUA
rnacentral:miRNA from 1 species